GGUGAACGCUGGCGGCGUGCCUAAUACAUGCCAGUCGAGCGAACGGACGAGAAGCUUGCUUCUCUGAUGUUAGCGGCGGACGGGUGAGUAACACGUGGAUAACCUACCUAUAAGACUGGGAUAACUUCGGGAAACCGGAGCUAAUACCGGAUGAUAUUUUGAACCGCAUGGUUCAAAAGUGAAAGACGGUCUUGCUGUCACUUAUAGAUGGAUCCGCGCUGCAUUAGCUAGUUGGUAAGGUAACGGCUUACCAAGGCAACGAUGCAUAGCCGACCUGAGAGGGUGAUCGGCCACACUGGAACUGAGACACGGUCCAGACUCCUACGGGAGGCAGCAGUAGGGAAUCUUCCGCAAUGGGCGAAAGCCUGACGGAGCAACGCCGCGUGAGUGAUGAAGGUCUUCGGAUCGUAAAACUCUGUUAUUAGGGAAGAACAUAUGUGUAAGUAACUGUGCACAUCUUGACGGUACCUAAUCAGAAAGCCACGGCUAACUACGU
rnacentral:rRNA from 1 species